rnacentral:rRNA from 1 species
GUAGUCUCGCACAGAUGCAUAUCAAUAAGCGGAGGAAAAGAAACUAACAAGGAUUCCCUUAGUAACGGCGAGUGAAGCGGGAAGAGCUCAAAUUUGAAAUCUUCAAGGGUUUACCUUUACGAAUUGUAGUUUAAAGAAGUGUUUUCUGUUGAGGUUUUGGUAAAAGUUCUUUGGAAUAGGACAUCAUAGAGGGUGAGAAUCCCGUAUUUGACCAUUAUUUUCAGCUGUGUGAUACACUUUCAAAGAGUCGGACUGUUUGGGAAUGCAGUCCAAAAUGGGUGGUAAAUUUCAUCUAAAGCUAAAUAUUGGCGAGAGACCGAUAGCGAACAAGUACCGUGAGGGAAAGAUGAAAAGAACUUUGAAAAGAGAGUUAAACAGUACGUGAAAUUGUCAAAAGGGAAGCGUUUGACACCAGUGUUGUUUUCUCGAAAAUCAAUUAAAAAGAGUUUGAUUUUGUUGUGUAUUGACCUUAACAGCUUGCAUUUCAAUUUUCUUGCUUUUUUUAAUGCACUUUUCGUUUAACAAGUCAACAUCAGUUUCUUUUGUUGUAAAAAGGUCAUUGGAAGGUGGCUUUCUUUUCGGAGAAAGUGUUUAUAGCCUUUGACUCCUGCAAUCGGAGAGACUGAGGUCUGCAGCGUAGAUCCUUCGGGGUUAGAUACAUUUGUGCUAAGUUAUAGCUUUUUAUAGACAACUUGUUGACUAUGAUUAGUCUUGUAGCUUACUCGCUUAUGCUAUUUUACCUACGCUUAGGAUGUUGAGCGCAUGUCUCUCUCU